UACAGAGGGUGCAAGCGUUAAUCGGAAUUACUGGGCGUAAAGCGUGCGUAGACGGUUAUUUAAGUCAGGUGUGAAAGCCCCGGGCUCAACCUGGGAAUUGCAUUUGAGACUGAAUAGAUAGGGUGCGGAAGAGGGAAGCGGAAUUUCCGGUGUAGCGGUGAAAUGCGUAGAUAUCGGAAGGAACACCAGUGGCGAAAGCGGCUCCUGGUCCAGCACCGACGUUCAGGCACGAAAGCGUGGGAGC
rnacentral:rRNA from 1 species